ACCGAUGCUCCCACUCCUUCAGGCGGUCUUGGACGCGGUGGAGGCGCUGCAUCGACGGAUCUUUCUUCUACCGAUGCGAUUAACCGUCAGGGCGUUCCGUGAAAAACUUUAUUAUAGGAUCGUCAACAAACACAAAGGGUAGCUUCGCUUGUCUAAUAACUGAUCAAGUUUCGGUUCUUUAACGUGUUUCAAAAAACAAAAAAAAAAACACUUGUAAUGCAAGUUUUUUUUUUUUCGUGUAGAGUUUAAUGCUAAAUAAUUCUCAAGUUUGAAAUGAUAUCAUACCAAAUAAAUAGGAACAGUUUUAGGACCUGUUUCGUACUUCAAUUUUCUCAUUUCAUAUCCAUUCAUAUAGUUUUUUUUUUUUUAUAGUUAAAGAGAUACGAACCUAAUCACCAUCUUCAACUCUAUUCGUAGUUGUAGAUUAAGGAGCUCUUCCAAGAGAUUCAUUCUAUAACUUCUUUUACAUCUUGGAGUACUAUGUAACAACCCUUUUUACACUUCCAAAGAGUCCACACUACUUCUAUUUUUAAUUUAUUUUUUCGUCAAACACUAAGGUUUUCCGUUAGAGAUUUAGAGUCAUUUAUAAACCACGGAAAAGCAGAAUACUAUGUCAACAAUAAUUUAAGAUUUUUUCUCAAAUAUUUACAUGGAAAAGCAGAAUACUAUGUCAACAAUAAUUAAGUUUUUUUCUCUAGCUUCUAUAUCUGAACCUCCAAGGCAUGUUACACUCCUCCUAAUUAUGUAGAAUUGGUUGCUGCUAGUUCAACCAUAUAUCUUCCACAAUUAAUUAUAAAUGCCGCUCCUCUGAUUUUCUCACCAAUUAAAGAAGAAUCACUAAAUUAACAUGUUCUAGUCUCAAAAAAAAAAAACAUGUAAUAGUCUCAAGGAUGUUCUAAAUGAAAAGGCUCAAUAAAACCAAAUAAUGAAUCAUCACAAAAGCUAUGUCAACGAAGACAAAAUGCAAGUGUGGAUAUUUUUCAGAAACUGCGUAAAACACCGUGAAAAUCAUCUUCUUCUUUUUUUUUUUUUUGGUCAAACUCUCUACAGAGUUUAUCAAGUGAUUUUUACCGGUACCUGUUUUUCCUUGUUUGGUUCAACUCAAUUAUUCGCCUUAAACCCACUUUAAGAAAAGCCCACUGAAAAGCCUACUUUAAAAUUCAACCAAAAGGCCCAUAAGUACUACAGCCGACAUCAGCAGACAACAAGCCACGUCGAUCUCGAGGAACCGCGUAAUUAACGUGUCGGAAUCACACGAGCCACCGUGUACUAGAUAGCUCCAUAAAAGCAGACACAUCUCAUGAAGCAGAACCUAAAACCUUUAAUAGCAAACGAAAAAUAAAAAAGAAGAAACUAACAAAACAAAAAAAAAAAUGGAGGCCGGGAAAACACCACCGACGACGACAACAACGACGGAGAAGAAAACGGAGCAAGUGAAAGACAACGACUUGCCGACCGAUAGCCCUUACAUGGCGACGGGUACUUUGGAAGAUUACAAAUUGAAAGCUUAUGGAGCCGAAGGUCACCAAGAGCCUACUCCUGGUCUUGGAGGUGGCUCCACCGAUGCUCCUACUCCUUCUGGCGACGCACCCGCCGCCACUACCACCGAUGCGAAAGCUCCGUGAAAAAAAAGAAAGACUAUAAUAAUGAACGGGUUUUGUGGAUCGUCGGAAAACAAACCCAUAAUUGUAGUAUGUUCAAUAACUGAUCCAGCUUCGUUUCUUAACGUUUUUAUGGUUUAAUUAAAAAUGUAUUUGCGUCUAAUGCUGAAUGCUAAAGUUCGA
rnacentral:lncRNA from 1 species